GUUUGACUAAUUAGUGACAUUAACUAGAACUAGCAGACUAGAACUGGAAAUGCAUUGAAAAUAUUGACCAGACUCUCUAUUCUACUCAGUUGCACUCAACACAUUGUUUGGUAUAUUUACUUCCACGUUAGGCAUAUCAGUUCCAUCCAUAUUUCAAUGUCAUCUGGUUGCUGAACCCAAUAACUGACACAUUCAGCCAAUUAAUGCCAUCC